UAUUCCUAUGAUUCCCACUUUGUUUUUCCAUUCCCGUGAAUGAAUCCACACGUUGGGUACUUCACGUUGCCAUUUGUUCUUCCUUCCAAAUUGUUUCUUUGAUACCAAAUGAAAAUAUGAUUUCUGCUCGUCGCCAAAUCUAAAAGAUGAAGAGUUUUACUCUGCAAAGCGUUGCUAUUUCGGAGAACGACAAAGGUGUAUCAUUAACUACAAAAUUCAACACAAAAAGUCAAAUUGAUCCACCUUAUCCACAACGUCAACAACUACAAGAAUGGUGCUUUCAGGGCUAAAACUUGAAGAAUGGACCUUAAAAAGGCAUCAUCAAAGCAUGAGAUGGAAGUAAGAGUUUUAAGAGUAAAGUUGGGAAGCAAAAUUGUAGAAUUUGAAUUGGCUUAAAGAAAGUUUGCGUCACUCAGAUGCUCCAUGAAUGAAGGCUUGAAUUUAAUGGAAAUCUUCGCUUAACUAGUUGAGUUCGCGCCAGGAUGAGCAAUGUAAUUUCGCCGAGGAGCUAAAGGUUGCAAAAUUGUGAAGGAAAGAAAUAAGCCCGCGUCGCAGACUUCAGUGUCAGUUGUUGAUUUUUGCAAAUUUCAAGACUAAAAAUAGCAUACCUGUAGUUUUUAUUAUUUACUCAGUCUUUUGUUUUGGAGAACGUCUGGAACAACGAAUAAUACUUCUUAGGGUUAUUAUUUCUUACCCUCUUCCUUAAUUUCUACUUGUUGAAUGGUCAUUAAACAUGUCUGGUGAUUCAAAAUAUGAGUGGUUAACUUUUCCUAUUCUAGGACUGUAGCCAC